rnacentral:rRNA from 1 species
UACGUAGGGAGCAAGCGUUGUCCGGAAUCAUUGGGCGUAAAGCGCGCGUAGGCGGCCCUGUAAGUCCGUUGUGAAAGUCAAAGGCUCAACCUUUGAAAGCCGAUGGAUACUGCAGGGCUAGAGUCCGGAAGAGGCGAGUGGAAUUCCUGGUGUAGCGGUGGAAUGCGCAGAUAUCAGGAGGAACACCAAUAGCGAAGGCAGCUCGCUGGGACGGUACUGACGCGUAAGGCGCGAAAGCGUGGGGAGCGAACGAGG